rnacentral:rRNA from 1 species
GACGGAGGGCGCAAGCGUUGUUCGGAAUUACUGGGCGUAAAGCGCACGCAGGUGGUCCCUUAAGUCCACUGUUAAAUCACGGGGCUCAACCCCGGAGGUGCAGCGGAUACUGAGGGACUGGAGACCGGUAGAGGCUAGCGGAAUUCCUGGUGUAGCGGUGGAAUGCGUAGAUAUCAGGAGGAACACCGGUGGCGAAGGCGGCUAGCUGGGCCGGUUCUGACGCUCAUGUGCGAAAGCGUGGGGAGCAAACAGGAUUAGAUACCCUGGUAGUCCACGCCGUAAACGAUGGGCACUAGAUGCCGGGCUCUUCGACGAGUUCGGUGUCGUAGCUAACGCAUUAAGUGCCCCGCCUGGGGAGUACGGCCGCAAGGCUGAA